CCUACGGGAGGCUGCAGUGGGGAAUAUUGGACAAUGGGCGAAAGCCUGAUCCAGCCAUGCCGCGUGUGUGAAGAAGGCUUUCGGGUUGUAAAGCACUUUCAGUGGGGAAGAAAGCCUUGGGGCUAAUACCCUCGAGGAAGGACAUCACCCACAGAAGAAGCACCGGCUAACUCCGUGCCAGCAGCCGCGGUAAUACGGAGGGUGCGAGCGUUAAUCGGAAUUACUGGGCGUAAAGCGCGCGUAGGCGGUCUGAUAAGCCGGUUGUGAAAGCCCCGGGCUCAACCUGGGAACGGCAUCCGGAACUGUCAGGCUAGAGUGCAGGAGAGGAAGGUAGAAUUCCCGGUGUAGCGGUGAAAUGCGUAGAGAUCGGGAGGAAUACCAGUGGCGAAGGCGGCCUUCUGGACUGACACUGACGCUGAGGUGCGAAAGCGUGGGUAGCAAACAGGAUUAGAUACCCCUGUAGUC
rnacentral:rRNA from 1 species